UACGUAGGACCCAAGCGUUAUCCGGAAUUACUGGGCGUAAAGAGUUGCGUAGGUGGCAUAGUAAGUAGGUAGUGAAAGCGUGUGGCUCAACCAUACAUCCAUUACCUAAACUGCUAAGCUAGAAGAUGAGAGAGGUAGAUGGAAUUCCUGAUGUAGGGGUAAUAUCCGUAGAUAUCAGGAGGAACACCGAUGGCGUAGGCAGUCUACUGGCUCAUUCUUGACACUAAGGCACGAAAGCGUGGGUAGCAAACAGG
rnacentral:rRNA from 1 species